UACGAAGGGGGCUGCGUUGCUCGGAAUCACUGGGCGUAAAGGGUGCGUAGGUGGGCUAGUAAGUCCGUGGUGAAAUCUCUGAGCUUAACUCGGAAACUGCCGUGGAUACUAUUAGUCUUGAAUCUCGUGGAGGUAAGCGGAAUAUGUCAUGUAGCGGUGAAAUGCUUAGAUAUGACAUAGAACACCGGUAGCGAAGGCAGCUUGCUACACGAGUAUUGACACUGAGGCACGAAAGCGUGGGGAUCAAACGG
rnacentral:rRNA from 1 species